CUUGAACGCUGGCGGCAGGCCUAACACAUGCAAGUCGAGCGGAGCGGCGGACGGGUGAGUAAUGCCUAGGAAUCUGCCUGGUAGUGGGGGAUAACGUCCGGAAACGGGCGCUAAUACCGCAUACUCUCAGAUGAGCCUAGGUCGGAUUAGCUAGUUGGUGGGGUAAAGGCCUACCACGGCGACGAUCCGUAACUGGUCUGAGAGGAUGAUCAGUCACACUGGAACGGAGACACGGUCCAGACGCCGACUGGAGGCAGCAGUGGGGAAUAUUGGACAAGGGGCGAAAGCCUGAUCCGUCCAUGCCGCGUGUGUGAAGAAGGUCUUCGGAUUGGAAAGCACUUUAAGUUGGGAGACGUUACCAACAGAAUAAGCACCGGCUAACUUCGUGCCAGCAGCCGCGGGAAUAC
rnacentral:rRNA from 1 species